ACGAACGCUGGCGGCGUGGAUUAGGCAUGCAAGUCGAACGAGAAAGGGUUCGCAAGAGCCCGAGUAAAGUGGCGAAAGGGUGAGUACUACCUAGGUAACCUACCCUGAAGAUGGGGACAACAGCUCUAACGGGCUGCUAAUACCCAAUAUGUCGGCGGGUCCGCAUGGAGCUGCCGGUAAAUGAUAGCCUCUGUUUACAAGCUUUCGCUUCAGGAGGGGCCUCGGGCCUAUCAGAUAGUUGGCGGGGUAACGGCCCACCAAGUCUGGGACGGGUAGCUGGUCUGAGAGGAUGGUUGGCCACACUGGGACUGAGACACUGCCCAGACUCCUACGGGAGGCUGCAGUCGAGGAUUUUUUGUAAUGGGCGCAAGUUUGACAGAGUGAUGUCGCGUGGGGGAGGAAGGCCUUCGGGUUGUAAACUUUUGUUGCUGGUUAAGAAUGCUGGGGUGCAAACAGCGCUACCAGUUGACAAAGGCCGGUGAGGAAGCCACGGCUAACUACGUGCCAGCAGCCGCGGUAAGACGUAGGUGGCAAGCGUUGUUCGGAAUCACUGGGCAUAAAGCGCGCGUAGGCGGCUAAGUCAGUCGGGUGUGAAAGCCCUCGGCUCAACCGAGGAACUGCGCCCGAUACUGCUUGGCUUGAGGUCCGGAGGGGAGAGUGGAAUUCCCGGUGGAGCGGUGAAAUGCGUAGAGAUCGGGAAGAACGCCGGCGGCGAAAGCGACUCUCUGGUCGGAAUCUGACGCUGAGGCGCGAAAGCUAGGGGAGCAAACGGGAUUAGAUACCCCGGUAGUCCUAGGCCCUAAACGAUGGGUAGCUAGGUAGUGGACCAGUACAUGGGUUCCCUGCCGGAGCAAAAGUGUUAAGUAGCCCCGCCUGGGGAAGUAUGGUCGCAAGGACUGAAACUCAAAGGAAUUGACGGGGGCUCACACAAGCGGUGGAGCAUGUGGCUUAAUUCGAGGCUACGCGAAGAACCUUAUCCUGGACUUGACAUGUGCGAAAGCGGUAGGAAGUAGCCUGCGGAAACGUAAGGCCAACGGUAUCCAGUCCGGAACCUACUACAGGUGCUGCAUGGCUGUCGUCAGCUCGUGUCGUGAGAUGUCGGGUUAAGUCCCAUAACGAGCGAAACCCUUGCCUCCAGUUGCCAGCGGGUCAUGCCGGGGACUCUGGAGGGACUGCCGGUGUUGAAACCGGAGGAAGGCGGGGAUGACGUCAAGUCCUCAUGGCCUUUAUGUCCAGGGCUGCACACGUGCUACAAUGGCGUGAACAAAGGGAUGCCAACGCGCGAGCGGGAGCCAAUCCCAAAAAACACGCCCCAGUUCAGAUCGCAGGCUGCAACUCGCCUGCGUGAAGCCGGAAUCGCUAGUAAUCGCGGGUCAGCAACACCGCGGUGAAUGUGUUCCUGAGCCUUGUACACACCGCCCGUCAAGCCACGAAAGAUCGGGGCGUCCGAAGUCGGUGCGCCAACCCGCAAGGGGGGCAGCCGCCGAAGACGAAACGGUCGAUUGGGACU
rnacentral:rRNA from 1 species